rnacentral:snRNA from 1 species
AUGCUCACUUUGGCAGCACAUAUACUAAAAUUGGAACGAUACAAAGAUUAGCAUGGCCCCUGCACAAGGAUGACAUGCAAAUUCGUAAAGGAAAAAAAAAAAGA